rnacentral:lncRNA from 1 species
CAUCCUUCCUUGCUUGGGCAGGGCCCACUUAUUUAAAGGGUGCCRGAGGGCUGGCCCUACCACCCCGGGGAGAGCCGUGCCGAGGACAGCGAUCAGGGCUGCUGCUGGGAGAGGCUGYGGGUCCUCUCUGCUCACCAAACCGGAGCUCCAGGGCGGUGAGAGGAUGUCGGCCCCCCACCCAGGACCGCACGGAGGGCCACCACCGCCACACCCUGGGCCUGGCAAGCCAGGGGGCCCGGGACACUCGCCCGCACAUCAUGGUCAGCCAGGUUCUCAUGUGACGGGUCCCCAAGCACCAGGUCCCAACACAAAGAGUCCUCACCCAUCAGGUCCCAACCCGUCGGGUCCACCGCAUGGACAUCACYGAUAGGCACUGAAACACCAUGAAAACCUGCUUGCUUUGGCAUGUGUCCAUCUUUAUCAGCUGCCAGCUCAUCUCGCACUUCCAGGAGCAGUUGGGGAGAGAUGUUGCCUGCUGUCCUGCCGCUCCCCCUUCUCUGCGGGCUGCUCAGCUGCCUGCGGGAAGCAUCACCUCCAUCUGAUCUGUGCACAACCUUGUAAGAGUCUCUGCCAGAAACGGAGGCUUACAGCUUUUUCUUUUCAAUAAAAGUCCAUUUAACACCUCUGCUUGGGCCA